CUACUUAACACAUGCAAGUCGAACGGUGAACCGGAGCUUGCUCUGUGGGAUCAGUGGCGAACGGGUGAGUAACACGUGAGCAACCUGCCCCUGACUCUGGGAUAAGCGCUGGAAACGGCGUCUAAUACUGGAUAUGUGACGUGACCGCAUGGUCUGCGUCUGGAAAGAAUUUCGGUUGGGGAUGGGCUCGCGGCCUAUCAGCUUGUUGGUGAGGUAAUGGCUCACCAAGGCGUCGACGGGUAGCCGGCCUGAGAGGGUGACCGGCCACACUGGGACUGAGACACGGCCCAGACUCCUACGGGAGGCAGCAGUGGGGAAUAUUGCACAAUGGGCGCAAGCCUGAUGCAGCAACGCCGCGUGAGGGACGACGGCCUUCGGGUUGUAAACCUCUUUUAGCAGGGAAGAAGCGAAAGUGACGGUACCUGCAGAAAAAGCGCCGGCUAACUACGUGCCAGCAGCCGCGGUAAUACGUAGGGCGCAAGCGUUAUCCGGAAUUAUUGGGCGUAAAGAGCUCGUAGGCGGUUUGUCGCGUCUGCUGUGAAAUCCGGAGGCUCAACCUCCGGCCUGCAGUGGGUACGGGCAGACUAGAGUGCGGUAAGGGGAGAUUGG
rnacentral:rRNA from 1 species